rnacentral:rRNA from 1 species
UACAGAGGUCUCAAGCGUUGUUCGGAUUCAUUGGGCGUAAAGGGUGCGUAGGCGGCUUCUUAAGUCUGGUGUGAAAUCUCCCGGCUCAACUGGGAGGGUGCGCCGGAUACUGAGGGGCUAGAGUGUGGGAGAGGAAAGUGGAAUUCCUGGUGUAGCGGUGAAAUGCGUAGAUAUCAGGAGGAACACCGGUGGUGUAAACGGCUUUCUGGACCAUAACUGACGCUGAGGCACGAAAGCGUGGGUAGCAAACAGG